CUAACUGCUAGGCGGUAGCCUUUUGGCUAAGAUCAAGUGUAGUAUCUGUUCUUAUCAGUUUAAUAUCUGAUACGUCCCCUAUCUGGGGACCAUAUAUUAAAUGGAUUUUUAGAACAGGGAGAUGGAAGAAGAGCUUGCUCUGUCCACUCCACGCAUCGACCUGGUAUUGCAGUACCUCCAAAAAAAAAAAAAAAAAA